GUUAUUUUAGUUACUGAUUGAAUUUAAAUUUAGAAUUUAAAUUGAAAUAUAGGUUUAAUAUAUUUAGUAAUA
rnacentral:tRNA from 1 species